AGUGCCAGGUGGGUAGUUUGACUGGGGCGGUCGCCUCCUAAAGAGUAACGGAGGUGCGCAAAGGUUACCUUAGAGUGGUUGGAAAUCACUCUGUAAGUGUAAAGGCAUAAGGUAGCUUAACUGUAAGACUGACAAGUCGAACAGAUACGAAAGUAGGUCUUAGUGAUCUGGCGGUGGCAAGUGGAAGCGCCGUCACUUAACGAAUAAAAGGUACUCCGGGGAUAACAGGCUUAUCCUUCCCAAGAGUUCACAUCGACGGAAGGGUUUGGCACCUCGAUGUCGGCUCAUCGCAUCCUAGGGCUGGAGCAGGUCCUAAGGGUAUGGCUGUUCGCCAUUUAAAGCGGUACGCGAGCUGGGUUCAGAACGUCGUGAGACAGUUUGGUCCCUAUCUGCCACAAGCGUUGGAUAUUUGAGAGGAGCUAUCUUUAGUACGAGAGGACCGAGAUGGACGAACCUCUAGUGUACCAGUUAUCCUGCCAAGGGUAAGUGCUGGGUA
rnacentral:rRNA from 1 species